UACGUAGGUGGCAAGCGUUGUUCGGAAUUAUUGGGCGUAAAGGGCGCGUAGGCGGCUUGUUAAGUCGGCUGUGAAAGCCCGGGGCUCAACCCCGGAGGGUCAGCCGAUACUGGCAGGCUAGAGUACGGAAGAGGUAGCUGGAAUUCCCGGUGUAGCGGUGAAAUGCGCAGAUAUCGGGAGGAACACCUAUGGCGAAGGCAGCUCGCUGGGACGUUACUGACGCUGAGACGCGAAAGCGUGGGGAGCAAACGGG
rnacentral:rRNA from 1 species